rnacentral:rRNA from 1 species
UUAUAUCCGUGGAUUUCCGAAUGGAGCAAUCCGGCAAGAGGAAAGUCUUGUCAUCAUAUACUGAAUCAAUAGGUAUAUGAGGGGAACCGCCUGAACUGAAACAUCUAAGUAGGGCGAGGAAAAGAAAUCAACAGAGAUUCCGCCAGUAGUGGCGAGCGAACGCGGAAGAGGCCAAACCGAGGGUAGUAAUACCUUCGGGGUUCGGACAGAAUACGGCAUGCUUUGAUUUAGCCGAAUGACAUGGGAAGGUCAAUCAUAGAAGGUGAGAAUCCUGUAGGCGAAAAGUGAAAGCAGCUAUCUGUAUCCAGAGUACCGCCGGACACGUGAAACCCGGUGGGAAGAUGGGGGGACCAUCCUCCAAGCCUAAAUACUACUCGGUGACCGAUAGAGAAGAAGUACUGUGAAGGAAAGGUGAAAAGCACCCCUGGCGGGGAGUGAAAGAGAACCUGAAACCUUGUGUUUACAAGCACUGAAAGUCAUUCAAUGGACGAUCAGGUACCUUUUGUAGAAUGGUCCGGCGAGUGAAUGUAUUUGGCAAGGUUAAGCACUUCAGGUGUGGAGCCGCAGCGAAAGCGAGUCUGAACAGGGCGUAUGAAGUCAAAUGUAUUCGACCCGAAACCGGGUGACCUACCCAUGACCAGGCUGAAGUAAAGGUAAAACUUUAUGGAGGGCCGAACCGACUCCCGUUGAAAUGGUAGCGGAUGAGUUGUGGGUAGCGGAGAAAUUCCAAUCGAACCCGGAGAUAGCUGGUUCUCUCCGAAAUAGCUUUAGGGCUAGCGUUGAAUUAGAUUACCGCAGGUAAAGCACUGAAUUGGCUAGGGGCCGAGAGGUUACUGAACCUUAUCAAACUAAGAAUGGCGGAUAAUUGAUGUUCAGCAGUCAGACAGCGGGAGAUAAGUUUCGUUGUCGAGAGGGAAAGAGCCCAGACCCACAGCUAAGGUCCCCAAUCAUAGUUAAGUGGAAAACGAUGUGGAAUUGCUUAGACAACCAGGAUGUUGGCUUAGAAGCAGCCACUCAUUAAAAGAGUGCGUAAUAGCUCACUGGUCGAGUGAUUCUGCGCGGAAAAUUUAACGGGGCUAAACUAUGAACCGAAGCUUGGGAUUCCUGUUAAGGAAUGGUAGGAGAGCGUCGUAUACGGGGUGAAGUCAGAGC